rnacentral:rRNA from 1 species
AGCGAACGUUAGCGGCGCGCCUAACACAUGCAAGUCGCACGAGAAAGGGCUUCGGCCCCGGUACAGUGGCGCACGGGUGAGUAACACGUGGGUAACCUUCCCAAACGUGGUGGAUAACCUGCCGAAAGGCGGGCUAAUACAGCAUGAGACCUUUGAUCUUCGGGUUGGAGGUGAAAGCAGGCUUCUGUUUACAAGCUUGCGCGUUUGGAUGGGCCCGCGUCCCAUCAGCUAGUUGGUGAGGUAAAGGCUCACCAAGGCUACGACGGGUAG